UGUAGGAGUGAGCCUGCUCGCGAUAGCGCUGUGUCAGCCGGCAGAUCGUUCACUGACAUACCGCUAUCGCGAGCAGGCUCACUCCUACA
rnacentral:misc_RNA from 1 species